rfam:Mus musculus chromosome 7, GRC primary reference assembly.
UGGUGCCAAAUGUGGGGGCAGUGAGAACAAGAGACCCUGUGAGGGACGUUACUGGAAGAAGGGUCAAUCGAAAAUUCAAAAAUGAAACAAAGGUUAUCACCAUGGGAACCUGCUGUGUUGAGACUGGUGAGUCAUAGUACCAAAAAUGGGGCAAGAAAUAAGUCAGCAUAAAGUAUAUAUGGAACAAACAAGAAAGGCUUUAAAGACAUAAGAAGUAAAGGUAAAAAUUCAGCAUUUAUUGUCAUUUUUUGAUUUUAUUAAAGAGUUAUGUCCCU